rnacentral:rRNA from 1 species
UGGGGAAUAUUGGGCAAUGGGCGCAAGCCUGACCCAGCAACGCCGCGUGAGGGAAGAAGGUUUUCGGAUUGUAAACCUCUGUCGCAGAAGACGAAGGAAGUGACGGUAAUCUGUGAGGAAGCCCCGGCUAACUACGCGCCAGCAGCCGCGGUAAUACGUAGGGGGCGAGCGUUGUCCGGAAUGAUUGGGCGUAAAGGGCGCGUAGGCGGCCUGGUAAGUCUGGAGUGAAAGUCCUGCUUUUAAGGUGGGAAUUGCUUUGGAUACUGCUGGGCUUGAGUGCAGGAGAGGAAAGCGGAAUUACCGGUGUAGCGGUGAAAUGCGUAGAGAUCGGUAGGAACACCAGUGGCGAAGGCGGCUUUCUGGACUGAAACUGACGCUGAGGCGCGAAAGCGUGGGGAGCAAACAGGAUUAGAUACCCUGGUAGU